UCAUGGCCAUUCAUCCCUGCUCUGUCGCCGGCACAGCUGAUGCACAUUCCAUGAUUCACACCUGCAGUAUUUAUACCCGGGCUGUGUUAUGCGCCAGAUCGUUACAUACUCCUAUGUGAUCCCGCCGUUACCUGCUUCCUACCUGCCGUGCUCUGCCGUGCUGCCUGCCUCACGCCACUCAGACACCUGCUUCUCCUGGAUUCUACUCGGAACUCCUUCGGAUCUGCCACUGCCUGGUUCCCUCAAGCUUCAGUCCAUUCCCAGAAGACUACAAGCUCAGCCUUGAUUGUUCAUCUCCUCUGAGUAUUUAUGCCUAAUAAAUACUUGAACUGUU